GGCCAGACUCCUACGGGAGGCAGCAGUGGGGAAUAUUGCACAAUGGGGGAAACCCUGAUGCAGCGACGCCGCGUGAGUGAAGAAGUAUUUCGGUAUGUAAAGCUCUAUCAGCAGGAAAGAAAAUGACGGUACCUGACUAAGAAGCCCCGGCUAACUACGUGCCAGCAGCCGCGGUAAUACGUAGGGGGCAAGCGUUAUCCGGAUUUACUGGGUGUAAAGGGGGCGUAGACGGUGAAGCAAGUCUGAAGUGAAAGGCGGGGGCUCAACCCCCGGACUGCUUUGGAAACUGUUUGACUGGAGUGCAGGAGAGGUAAGUGGAAUUCCUAGUGUAGCGGUGAAAUGCGUAGAUAUUAGGAGGAACACCAGUGGCGAAGGCGGCUUACUGGACCGUAACUGACGUUGAGGCUCGAAAGCGUGGGGAGCAAACAGGAUUAGAUACCCCAGUA
rnacentral:rRNA from 1 species